AAUUCCUGUAGUUACUAAAGGACUUAUGGAAAUCCUGCUUAGAUUAAGUGGCUCUCCGGGAGUCUCGGCGGCGCAGCGGCGCGGGCCGGCGGCUCUCCGCGGUGCUCCUCACCGGCACCGCGCCGCGCCCGCCCCCUCCUUCUCUCUCUCUCUUUUUUUUGCUUUUUUCAUUUUUUCUAUUUUUUUUUAAUUUUUCGUGGACGGGUACGUGGUUUCCUCUCCUCAGAGAGCCUGGCGGGGCCGCCCGCGGUCGCGGGGAAGGGCCGUAGCGGCGCGGCCGCGCACUUGCUUACAAGCUCAAUCCACACAGAAGAGCUGAUGCUGUACUCCUCUGACGGGACCUGUCCUUCAAGAACCCAAAAGAAGAAGCAAUGAGCUCCGCAAUGAGGAAAAUGAAUCCGCAGUCCAUCCUAGCAAGCACGUCCGAGUACAGGAGGAGACAUCAUAUGAAGCUAGAAUGUGUGGAUUAGCCAGAAGUUCUUUUUAACCAUGUAAAGUCCUACUCAAAGAUAAUGAUGAUCUCGGUGAGUCUGGUCUAAGUGGUCUAAGCAAUGCUGAAGGGAAGAACAGAGUUGGAAGGCAGGAGUUGUUUCAGAGGUGCAUUCUUCCUUCUAUAAAGCCCAAACAUGAAGAUUUUUGUAUUGCUAAACGUGGUUACCUACUCUAAAGUUGAGUCAGUGUGUGCCUAAUGAAAAUUGGAUGUGAAAUGUAAUAUCUAGAGGACAAAGAAGCAUUGAAAUCUAUUGCUCUUGAAGACAAAGAUCCUGCCAUCAAGGACUGAGCCUCCCUGAAAUCUUCUUAUCAGUUACUGCCGAGAUGAGAAGGAUAACAGGAAGGAGUGCUUAAGUGGUUUUAAUGACAGCUAAUUUCAUCUGUUUAUCAAAUGACAGGUUGUUUGUUUCCUCAAAAGUCAAUUGUAAUGACAAUAUGCUUUUGGAAGUCAUCUUUGUAAAAUAAAACUGACAAUUUUAGGUUACAGAGUUACUGUAAUCUUUCUGUACAAUGUUGUGUCACUAUAGUAAACUGCUGGAAAGUCUGUAUUUUUUCUGAAGUAACUUAACUUGUGUACUUUACUCAUUUGUUUGAAUGUCUGUUGACUGCCAUGUGAGAAGUUCCUUUCCAGAGUUUUGUUCAAUAGAACAGUUAUUCUUACAGCGCUCAAUUUAUUAUUGUCUAAAUUACUGUUGCCUUAGCCUCCCGCAAAAAUGUUUCUUUUCAGUAAUUCUUAAACAAGGAAUGAAUGGGUUUUUGUCCUCUUCCUAUUUUGAUCGGCAUAUUUUUCCUUUUAGUGAAAGCUUCUUCAGUCUUCAUAAUGACACUAUUACAAAGAAAGGUGCUUUGGAAAAAGGAAAAGAAAAAAAAAAGUGUCUUUUGAUGCAGUGAUUUUUGAAUGUGUACAUUGCCUAGACACAGUUGCUGGAGGGAGAGACAAACUUGGGAAUGUCAUGCCAUGCAAAAUUAAGAAUUAGUAGCUCUUACAUUGAGCAGUCUCUUCAACUAGAAUUGGACCUAUUGCAUCUGGCUUAUCCUUUGACUCUAGUGGAACUAAUGUGUCCUUGGAGUUGCAUUUUUAGAGUAACUUCAGAUUUAUGUUUUCUUCACAAGUCUGCUUUAAACUGUUGGGAUUAACUUCAGAGAAGGCAAGAGAUACAGUCUCUUUGUCAGCAUCUGUGCUGGUUAAAGAAGGAGGCUCCAUGUACUCUCUCUACUGGAGAUUAUUGCCCCUGCUAGGCAAGCGGGCUGACAUAUUUCCAUGAGCGCACUCAGACUUACCUCAGGCAGUGGUAAUCAUAUUAGUUAACUAAUGAUUAAUUAACUAAUUAGUGACAAUCAAGUAUUAGUUAACUAGUAGCUUGUUUUGGUGAAAGGGCAGGGGGUAUGCAGACCAGUUGCCCAGCUGGCAUAUCUGCGAGGAGGGGUGUUGAGGACCUGGUGGUGGCAUAGUCUUUUUAUCAGGUGCAGUUAUGCCUCUAAGAGGAUGUGGCCAGAGUUUGAUGCGUUAGAAAGUUGUGCAGUUCUGUUGAGUAUAAUUUGCAUGUUUCAGAGACAUGCUAGAUAAUACAAAAUACAGCUGUGCUCCUUAGUCCUUGUGCUUGACAACAUGAGUGGAGAGAGUUGAUAUGAGUGUGUGUAGGUGACAGAGGACACACACAUGUUUCAGGGAAGUUUGUGGUCGAGAUGAGUAAAUGGUACAAGUGUUUCUGUACCUCAAGGUACAGUCUGUUGUGCUUUAUUCAAAGUUUUGACAUACGGUGCCCUGAGCUGCUUUUAGAGGAGGAAAACAAAACAAAACCCACCCCGCAACAGAACACCUCUCCCCCACUAGUAUACGCUGCUGCUUUGCUGUCUGAUAGUGCUACUGGUGCUGGCAUCUGGUGAGGCAUGCAAGCUAAGGGCCCUGCUCCUGCUGUUCCCUAUGUCAAAAGGGGAACAGGAGCGAUGAUCUCUGGAACUGGAAGGUGCACUGUACAAAAACAGUACACUAAGCAGCUUCUUCAGGCUUGACUCUUUUCACAGGAAGGCUAUCAAAUAUAGGUGCUGUCCCACAAGCAAUGCUUGAGAAUACAAAAAGCAUCUAGUCCAUCAGAACCUUGAGGGCAGCAACUCUGCUCGUGCCUUGUCUUGGGGGACUGCUAGAGGAAAGGAAAUGAGUCAUCUCCAGCUCAGCAGUUUUGGAUUAGAUUUUCUUUAGGUGGUCCUAAGCUAAAGGAGGAGAAAAUAGCCUCCAUCUUGCCUACCAUAAGUAAACUGAAUUAGGGAGGAAAAUAACGUACUACGUCUGGAAAGGCACUGGUGUGAAAGAGCCCCACACAGUGCUGAUCUGCAGGAAAAGAGCAGUUUCUCCUGGCUGCUUUGUCCUUAGUCACACUACCCUACCAUAGUGCUUUCAGACCAGAUCCCACGCCUGCUCUCCCCUGAAUGCCUGCGGACCUCAAGAGUUGUGGGAUGAAGAGACAGGGCAUGGGGAUUCUUAAGAUUGAAGCUUGCAGAAAAAUUUGGAGAUGGACACAAACUUAGAAGUCACUAAUAUGUUGAAAUUGUAUGCAAGAAGUAGAGAUGAUGUGGCAGUUUGUGCAAAUGUAUUGUUUUCCUGCCAAGUUUUCAGCUAACUUGGCUUUGUACUGCUAUAUACUAAGAAAAUGUUGGACUUUUCAGUCAGAUUCUUUUACUAGCCUGCGCUUGCAGCGUAAUGCUCUGUGUGUGCAUAGUUCAUGGAGGCAGCAUGCCAACCACAUAGUUUCCAAAAUCCUCCACUUGCCACGGGUUCAAUCUGUGCAAGUUUAAGGUGAAAUGGGGUGCGGUUCCUGGUCUGAGAGCUGCGCUCGGUAAUGGCAUCCUGUGGUCAAGCCAUGGCUGAGCUCACAGCAGCAUUGCUAAGUUCAGGGUACUAACAGUGUGGAAGUGAAAUACCUCAUCCAAAGGGAUGCUUUAACAUCCCUAGCGACCUUUAGUUCAGAGUGUCUGAGCAUCCACAGAUCUUUGAGGCAGCCCGUAAUUCAUAUAAUCCUGUUAUCGUAAUACAGACUAUUGUAGAACCUAUGUUAAAAUAGUUACUGAGAUGCUUGUGAUUUCCUAAUAAUCUUUUUUGUCUGCUCAAGUGCCUGUAUGUAAUAAUCCUAUAUAUAUAUAUAUAUAUAUGUAUAUAUAUAUAAAAAUACCAUAUAGCUAUAUAGAAUUAAACCAAUAUUGUAAAAUAACUCCUCUCAUAUAGGAUGCUGUCAUGCUGUGUUAUGCCAGUGACUAAAACUUUACUUCUGAGCACUUAAAAUGAUCAAGUACUAUACUUAAGAGUGUCAUACUGUUUAUGUAGCAUGAAAAAGAAAAUAAAAUACAAUUUUAGAGCAGACUUUUUUCUUAUAAAUACUCCAAAUAAUAUGUUGGCUUCAACUAGACUUCCUGGCUCUAUGCUAUUGCUGCAUUCUGUAUGAGUAUAGCAGGAUCCCAAGCAUUUCAUAAUGUGCUUAGUGUUUUAAGCACAUGAUUUUUAUGUAUUUUCUCCAUAAAUAUAUCGGAUAAAACGUAAUUUUCCUUAACUGGUAGCGUAUUUACUUUCUAGCUCCUUUAACUUUAAUUCAAAAAUAUUUGAAUGAAAUAUAGCUCAUUCCUUAAAAUAAUCUUUACAUCUAUAAUAUGACUGUUGAUUUCAUAUGACUGUUUUUGUAUUUCAGACGUAGCAAAACAUUUCCAAGGCAUUGUGCAUUGACAGCAUAGAGAGAUAAAAAUCAGGUAAUGAUAAAUUCUAUGGUGCAAACUUUUAAUAAGAAUAAUGAAUCAUUAAAAAUGUUUAGAAAGAGAAUAGGAGAUUUGCUAUCAGUUGAGGUCUUUGAAUGAAGAUGGAAUGUUUUUAUAGAGAUACAUACUUGAGUAAAUACCUGUCUGAGGUACAGAAAUUCCUACCUGGGUCUGUGGCUUUCAUUACCCCUGGGGUCAGCCUAGAUUAUCUUGGAGGUUCUUCUGCCUUAGAAGAGAGGAAGGCAUCAGUACUCUAGUUUUAACAAAUAUAUUUACAGAAGAGCAGCUUCUACUGAAAACUUAUGAAAAGUUACUUGCACUUCUUUUAAACAAAAAAACCCUCUGUGUGUGUGCGUGUGUGCGCGCGUGUGUGUGUUGGGGAGAGGGGGGUGUCACUUAAUUACUAAGUUGGCAAGUUUCCUGCCUUCUAACAUCAUGUGUUUUCAAAGAUCCUUAAUCACCUGGCUACUUGGUUUGGAACACUGUAACAUUUCAGUAGCUUUAGGUGGGUUUGUUUGCUCAUCCAUGCAUGCUUUCUUCAACUGUCUGUCUUACACUGCCCGUUUUCAGCAAGAGCCUAAGGUCUGUUGGGUAAUUCAUAUGUUUUGCACUGAAGGACUUUUGAAAACUAUUUCUGAUUCUUUUGGUUGUUUUGUUGAAAUAUAGACUAAAUACCAGAACUCUCUGAAUGUUGUGCAAAAUACGUAUUUCUGUAGAAUCUCAACUUACUCUUCUCUGUUCCUCCCAAAUUAAUCAAUCAGCACAUUAAUUUUUUUUUCAGAGCAAAUGUCUCUUAUAUAUUUCUGCAAAGUGUAAUGUUGUCUUGUCUCUAGAAAUAAUUAUUCGGUUUAAAAUAAUCUUGAUAGCAACCCGCUGUGCAUAAAUUAGGUUUGUUCUCUAUUAAGAUUAGUUUGCUGGCAUCCAUUCACAGGCAUAUCACAAAAAAAAAAAAAAAUGGUGAGUUUAUUGCAUCUGGUUAUUCUUCCUUUUUUCUUUUUAAUGGGCUUUUUGUUGCUGUGCUGUCACCAAGGCUGAAAUAAAUGUGUGCAAAUCA